rnacentral:rRNA from 1 species
GAUGAACGCUAGCGACAGGCCUAACACAUGCAAGUCGAGGGGCAUCGGGACGUAGCAAUACGUUGCCGGCGACCGGCGGAUGGGUGAGUAACGCGUAUGCAACCUACCCGUAGCAGGGGGAUAGCCCGUUGAAAGACGGAUUAAUACCCCGUAACACAGGGGCUCCGCAUGGAGAUUAUUGUUAAAGGGUCAUUUCUUUUAGAGGUGGUCCGGCUGCGGAUGGGCAUGCGUUCCAUUAGGUAGUUGGUGUAGGUAACGGCUCACCAAGCCGACGAUGGAUAGGGGAACUGAGAGGUUGGUCCCCCACACUGGUACUGAGACACGGACCAGACUCCUACGGGAGGCAGCAGUGAGGAAUUUUGGUCAAUGGACGCAAGUCUGAACCAGCCAUGUCGCGUGAAGGAGGACGGCCCUAAGGGUUGUAAACUUCUUUUGCAGUGGAAUAAAGUUUGCCACGUGUUGGCGAUUUGCAAGUACGCUGCGAAUAAGGAUCGGCUAACUCCGUGCCAGC